rnacentral:rRNA from 1 species
GAAUAAUUGGGCGUAAAGCGCGCGCAGGCGGUCUUUUAAGUCUGAUGUGAAAGCCCCCGGCUUAACCGGGGAGGGUCAUUGGAAACUGGAAGACUGGAGUGCAGAAGAGGAGAGUGGAAUUCCACGUGUAGCGGUGAAAUGCGUAGAGAUGUGGAGGAACACCAGUGGCGAAGGCGACUCUCUGGUCUGUAACUGACGCUGAGGCGCGAAAGCGUGGGGAGCAAACAGGAUUAGAUACCCUGGUA